rnacentral:rRNA from 1 species
AGUGAACGCUGGCGGUAGGCCUAACACAUGCAAGUCGAACGGCAGCACAGUAAGAGCUUGCUCUUACGGGUGGCGAGUGGCGGACGGGUGAGGAAUACAUCGGAAUCUACUUUUUCGUGGGGGAUAACGUAGGUAAACUUACGCUAAUACCGCAUACGACCUACCGGUGAAAGCAGGGGAUCUUCGGACCUUGCGCGAUUGAAUGAGCCGAUGUCGGAUUAGCUAGUUGGCGGGGUAAUGGCCCACCAAGGCGACGAUCCGUAGCUGGACUGAGAGGAUGAUAAGCCACACUGGAACUGAGACACGGACCAGACUCCUACGGGAGGCAGCAGUGGGGAAUGUUGGACAAUGGGGGCAAGCCUGAUCCAGCCAUACCGCGUGGGUGAAGAAGGCCUUCGGGUUGUAAAGCCCUUUUGUUGGGAAAGAAAAGCAGCAGGUUAAUACCCAGCUGUUCUGACGGUACCCAAAGAAUAAGCACCGGCUAACUUCGUG